rnacentral:rRNA from 1 species
CGACCGGCGCACGGGUGCGUAACGCGUAUCGAACCUGCCUCAUACUCGGGGAUAGCCUUGCGAAAGUAAGAUUAAUACCCGGCGGUCUCGGACGGCCGCAUGACUGUCCGAGUGAAGAUUUAUCGGUAUGAGAUGGCGAUGCGUCCCAUUAGCUUGUUGGUGAGGUAAUGGCUCACCAAGGCAUCGAUGGGUAGGGGUUCUGAGAGGAAGGUCCCCCACAUUGGAACUGAGACACGGUCCAAACUCCUACGGGAGGCAGCAGUGAGGAAUAUUGGUCAAUGGACGAAAGUCUGAACCAGCCAAGUAGCGUGCAGGAAGACGGCCCUCUGGGUUGUAAACUGCUUUUAGUUGGGAAUAAAAAGAGGGACGUGUCCCUUAUUGUAUGUACCAUCAGAAAAAGGACCGGCUAAUUCCGUGCCAGCAGCCGCGGUAAUACGGAAGGUCCAGGCGUUAUCCGGAUUUAUUGGGUUUAAAGGGAGCGCAGGCGGCGGCGUAAGUCAGUUGUGAAAUCGUGCGGCUUAACCGUGCAAUUGCAGUUGAUACUGCGUCGCUUGAGUGCACACAGGGAUGUUGGAAUUCAUGGUGUAGCGGUGAAAUGCUUAGAUAUCAUGAAGAACUCCGAUCGCGAAGGCAUAUGUCCGGAGUGCAACUGACGCUGAGGCUCGAAAGUGUGGGUAUCAAACAGG